GGAAGCGCUCGGGGCGCGAUGGCGGCGGCGCAGGAAGCGCUUCUGCGGCCGGGGGUUCAAAUCCCCCCGCCUCCG
rnacentral:tRNA from 1 species